UAUAUUGUUUUAUGCUGUCAUGAAAACCAUCAGCCUCAGCUUACUUUAAGUUUUUACUUUCCCACUCCCCCAUUUUCAGCUCCAGUGUGUCUCUUAAAGGGUCAGUUCACCCCAAAAUGAGAUUUGUCAUUAAGUACUUACCCUCAUGUUGUUCCACACCCAUAAGACCUUCGUUCAGAACACAAAUUAAGAUAUUUUUGAUAAAAUCUGAGAGAUGUCAGUUCCUCCAUUGACUGUCUUUACAACUGACACUUUAACUUUUCAAAACGAUCAUAAAGGGCCUGUUUACAUCUGGUCACUUCAUGCGUUUUUACAGAUCGGACAAUUUCAUUUACACUUGGCCACAUAAAUGUGUCUCUGCAAAACGGAUAUAAAUCCGAUCUUCAAUUCCCGCACUCUGUGCAAAUUUAAAGAUUAUACGUCAACGAAAGAAACGGAUAUGAGCUGCAUUUUAUUGAUCAUCAGCUAGCUAAUUUCAGAAUCAAAGGCCGCAAUAGGAGAGAGAGCAGCAUCAGCACUGGUAAGAUCAAUGAUCAAAGUUUACAAGCGAGUAAAAACCUAAAUUGAAUCUGUUCAUCAUAUAAAGCAAUUGAGUCUUCAGAAAAUUUGGACUAAACUGCUGAAUUCAUAUGGAUUAGUUUUCUGAUCUCUUUAUAAACGUUCUGAAGAGUCAAAGUGUUCACUGCAAAGGCAGUAUAUGAAGGAACUGACAUCUCUUAGAUUUCAUCAAAAAUAUCUUAAUUUGUGUUCUGAAGAUGAACAAAGGUCUUACGGAUGUGGACGUCAUGAGGGUGAGUAAUUGAGGACAUAAUUUUCAUUUUUGGGUGAACUAACCCUUUAACCAAACCAGGUAAAAGAGUGAAACUCAAAAAAAAAAAAAAAAAAAUUAUAUGAGUAGGGGUCAUUUCAUGAAAAUGUCACAUUAUUUAGAGUGAAACGUAACCCAGACAUGUUCUUGGUAACAUCCACCAAGUCAGAGGCACACGUGACAAUGAAAACAUUGUCACAAAACAUUGAAAACCUCACAGUAAAUUUUUACUUACAGCUACUUCUGACGUGAGACGGGAAAAUCCAGUCUUGAGUCUUGUACCAAAUCAAUGCACAUCUGUAGAAAGGACAAUUCUAGAAACUCUAGAGAAAAUGGACCUGAAGAUCAACCACCUGACUUCACUGGUCCAGUCUCUAGUGGGAAACAGGCGCUUUUUACCCCCAGUGGCAGUGCAAAAUGAUGAAGAGGAUGGCAUCUUUCCUCUUGCAUCCACUGAGGAUCUAGACCGGCUGGAACAAAGUCUGUCAGACAGAGGGUUUCUGCAGAGAAUGGUGAACAGAUUAUCCAUCAGCGGCGGGCCGACAAUGAAGAAGACCGUCUGGAGAAUCUGCUCCAAGGUCUUCAGCACUAAUGUCGCCCGCCAACUGAACUGGUGUGGGAGAGGAGACCAGCGGGGAUCAGAAAGACAAACAUCGGGUCACUGUUAACCGCUUCAGCCAUGAGGAAUCCCGUCCUGCCGUCUCCAACGGAAGCAGAGGCGGAGAAAUAUAUCAAAGAUUUCCAACGCUUGGCUCCAGGGAGGGUGUGAUUGUUUAUUUAAAUUAAAUGUAUGUUGUUAAAGUGUAUUGUUUUUUAAAAUAUAUGUUAUGGAGUUGUGUUAAUAUGGAUUUUUUUUUAAUUAAUCUAAAGUUGUAAUUGAUAUAAUAAAUUAGAAAUACGUUUUUUGCCUAAUAAAUAUUUUUAAAAUCAUC